rnacentral:rRNA from 1 species
CACGGGUGAGUAACACGUAUCCAACCUGCCGUCUACUCUUGGACAGCCUUCUGAAGGAAGAUUAAUACAAGAUGGCAUCAUGAGUCCACAUGUUCACAUGAUUAAAGGUAUUCCGGUAGACGAUGGGGAUGCGUUCCAUUAGAUAGUAGGCGGGGUAACGGCCCACCUAGUCUUCGAUGGAUAGGGGUUCUGAGAGGAAGGUCCCCCACAUUGGAACUGAGACACGGUCCAA